UACGAAGGGGGGCUAGCGUUGCUCGGAAUUACUGGGCGUAAAGGGCGCGUAGGCGGACAGUUAAGUCAGAGGUGAAAGCCCAGGGCUCAACCCUGGAAUUGCCUUUGAUACUGGCUGUCUUGAGUACGGGAGAGGUGAGUGGAACUCCGAGUGUAGAGGUGAAAUUCGUAGAUAUUCGGAAGAACACCAGUGGCGAAGGCGACUCACUGGCCCGUUACUGACGCUGAGGCGCGAAAGCGUGGGGGAGCAAACAGG
rnacentral:rRNA from 1 species